rnacentral:tRNA from 1 species
GCACCUGUAGCUCAGCUGGAUAGAGUAGCAGCUUCCGAAGCUGAUGGUCGGGGGUUCGAAUCCCUUCAGGUGCA